AGUACGUGUGUGGGGUUCUGCUCGAACAAACAAGGGCCAAGGGGGGAACCCUAGCUUCAUCCAAUUCACAAGAAAAACUAUAGAGAUUCAAAGAAAUUGAAAGCAUAAUCAGGAAAUUGCAAGCUCUUAACUUGUUCAUUGAAAGGGCGUGAAGGAGGAGGGCUCGAGUGCUAAGAAAUCGGAAGGAUCACAGGAUCGAGGUAAAUCCUCACUUUAGGCGAUUUGGAGAAUCGGAGCGAGCACGUGUCCAUGUCAUGCGUGAAGGAGGAGGGCUCGAGUGCUAAGAAAUCGGAAGGAUCACAGGAUCGAGGUAAAUCCUCACUUUAGGCGAUUUGGAGAAUCGGAGCGAGCACGUGUCCAUGUCAUGUUAUACCAAACGCUUCCGCUAGCUUAUUCUCAUCUUUUUGGUCUAUGACUCGUUAUUUUGUCCAACUUUGUUAGUAGUCGUACAUUUGUAAAACUUGUCGUCUUUGCUUUUGGUAGUUUUAUGUCAAACAGAUCGUAGAAUGUUAUUUAGUGGAUUAGUUUAAAAACAGGGGGUAUGUUCGUUUUACGAACGGGUCAUGCCCAAUUUUUGUAAAAAAAUAAAUUAAUUAAUUAUGUAUCAAAGUUGGUACUUUUGAU
rnacentral:lncRNA from 1 species